rnacentral:misc_RNA from 1 species
GUAGGUGAACCUGCGGAGGGAUCAUUGAAGAGCAAGGGCCUCCCGGCCCGACCUCCAACCCUUUGUACUUGCAUACCAUGUUGCCUCGGGGGUGACCCUGCCGUCCGCGGUCGGGGCCCCCGGCGGACCACUCAACCCUGCAUCUUUGCGUCUGAGUCAAUCUGUAAAUCAAACAAAACUUUCAACAACGGAUCUCUUGGUUCUG